rnacentral:rRNA from 1 species
UGGGGAUAGCUAUUAGAAAUAGUAGAUAAUACCGAAUACGAGCACAGGGGUUAGAGAUCUGUGAGGAAAGGAGCUAAGGGCUCCGCUGAAGGAAUGGCCUGCGGCCCAUUAGCUAGUGGUGAGGUAAGAGCCCACCAAGGCGAUGAUGGGUAUCCCGGCCUUAGAGGGUGAACGGACACAUUGGGACUGAGAUACGGCCCAGACUCCUACGGGAGGCAGCAGCUAAGAAUAUUCCGCAAUGGACGAAAGUCUGACGGAGCGACGCCGCGUUGGAUGAAGAAGGCCGGAAAGGUUGUAAAAUUCCUUUUGAAACGUGAAAGAAUAAGCGUUGUAGGGAAUGACAGCGUGGUGACAGUAGGUUUUGAAUAAGCAACGGCUAAUUACGUGCCAGCCGCAGC